AAGCAGAUACCCAAGGUUCCGGAGGUUCGAUGAAACCGAGGACCACAGAGGGAAAGUGACCUCAAAGUCACAGAGUAAUUUUUUAGAGCUGGACAAGAAUCCAAGCCUGCAACUGCAGAGACCAGAGAUCUUUCUUCUAUCUAUACUCUUGGGAAGCACAUCCGAAGAUCUUUGCAAAUUAUCGUGUGGAAGGAAAAUGCCUGAAGUCAAAAGAAGCCGGAAAGCACCCCCAGAUGGCUGGAAGUUGAUUGAGCCAACACUGGAUGAAUUAGAUCAAAAGAUGAGAGAAGCUGAAACAGAACCGCAUGAGGGAAAAAGGAAUGUGGAAUCUCUGUGGCCCACCUUCAGGAUCCACCACCAGAAAACCCGCUACAUCUUUGACCUCUUUUACAAGCGGAAAGCCAUCAGCAGAGAACUCUGUGAAUACUGUAUUAAAGAAGGCUAUGCAGACAAAAACCUGAUUGCAAAAUGGAAAAAGCAAGGGUAUGAGAACUUGUGCUGCCUGCGGUGCAUUCAGACAAGGGACACCAACUUCGGGACGAACUGCAUCUGCCGUGUGCCCAAAAGCAAGCUGGAAGUGGGCCGCAUCAUCGAGUGCACACACUGUGGCUGCCAUGGCUGCUCUGGCUGAGGCUGGUGCUCUCCACCCUGGACUCUGGACUUCGCAGGUUCCUGCCUGUGGCGCCACCCCCUUCCUGGGAGCAGCGAGCAGUGCCCCAGGCCCGAGUUGGAGCACAGUCUCUACGGGGAAGGCUUCGCUGUCCAUCAGCUGUGAUUUGAAAAAAAAAAAUCUUCAAA